rnacentral:lncRNA from 1 species
GCACUCCUACCAAAGCUGGGCCGGCAACUCACCGAGGCUGAAGCUGGAGCGCCUGGAAAUGCGCACCUAGCGUUUGCAGUGCUCCCCGGGUCCGGUUGGCCUCUUCCUUGAGUUCUCUGAGCUCGCGCUCCAAGUCGAAUGGGCGGGGUAAUCCUCCCUUGGGUCCCGCCACGCUGUGGAGGCGCCGUUUUAAUUCUGAGGGACAAAUGGGCAGAGUCAGGGUGAGUCCGAGCACAGCGACAGGGCCGAGUCCUUACCUCUCACCUUCGCCGCGACGCUCCAGCGCCCGGCUCUGUGCUUCUGUUUCUGCCAUGCGUCUGGCGCGGGUUCCCUGCAAGACUCGCAGCCUCUCCCCAGGGCUCCCUGCAGUCUGGGAAGUGAGACCCUCAGUCGCUCGGGGACCUAUUUUCUGUAGGGACAGCAACUGCACCUGCAAAUAACUCGGACCCGCUAUUUCUGUACUGGGUGAUUUCCAGCAUGUAAAUCUCUACACAUGUAAAGUUGAAGUUUGUAGUCAUGAUUGGUGUGUACCUCCUCUGUCAGCCUCUUUAGAGCAGAUGUGCUGGCUUCCUGAUCACGGCUCUUUUCUUGUGCCAUGAUCUGGUGGCGGGGAGGCAAAAAACGUAAGAAUAAUGAUUGAUGGAAAACCUACCCCUGGCCACUGGCGGCCCUUACCUUGGUGCCUCGUUUGAUCGCGACUGAAGGCUGUGAUUUAAGUGUUACCUCCGGAGUCAGCCGGCCAAUGCAGAAUCGUUUGGUGUGUGUGGCCAACAGAGCCCAGGAGCGGAAAACCAUAUCACAGGAUUCACAGGAUAAAAGUCCUGAUUCCCCUGAGUAAUCGGCCAUGGAAUGGAAUCUCUUAUAGACACCAGCGUCCUACAGAGGAUGUGACAAAAGAGAAAAGGCGGACUGGACAGAAAAGAGAGAAAAGGGACAAAGAAUAGACCAAGUCUGCUAAAUCGCCAGGUCCUUCAAAUGUAUGUUUAUGUUUGGGGAGGUGCCCUAGCUCCCUGGGCAGCGAGUACAGGCUUAGGCAGGCCUGGGCAAUGUGCCUGGCCACCUUUGGGUGGGGCCCAGGUGUGAAAAUGUCAGUUUGUUCCACCAAUUACAGUGAGUUUGGCCAAGUAUUUAAUUAACUGCGGCUUUGACUUCAUUGCCUAUUUAGCCUCUGAUAGGCAACUGUCAUCUGUACCACAGCUGUUCUCUAAAAUGGACAGAUUUCAAGCUAGAAUUCUCCACUGUAGGGAACAUUUCCGCACAAGGUAAACCUCAUAUUAGCAGUAUGUCUUUGCAUAAACCCAUCUUUUACAGAAUUAACACACCACACAAUGGAAUAGUCUUUCUAAUUCCCAUUCUGGGACAGGAAUGAUCUGAACCUUUCCAGUAAUGAGAACUGGGAGACCCGUUGGGGAGAAUACAAUUUGUCAGAUGGAUACUACUUGUGAGUUAAACGAGCUCUUUCUGCUGGUCAAGUUAUCGUCACCUUUACACAGAUCUGUAAAAGCAACGUUCAUCCUCAUCUCCUAGGCGAAUCUAUGCCUAAAAUGUUUUCAGGCUCUGAGACUAUUGAAUAAACUCACUCUAGCUCUUCCUCAAAGCUGGCUGACUCAACUCAGCUGUUCUGUCUCAAAGUCCUCUCUGAACUGGUUCAAACCGGCUUCUCUUAGCUUCUCAUUGAAGUGCUCUACUUGGUGAAGCUGCCUCUAAACUACACUCAACUGAACUAACUCCAAGAUGGAUUUUCCCUGCACUGCUCUUUUUUUUUUUUUUUUUAAGAUUUAUUUAUUAUAUGUAAGUACACGGUAGCUGUCUUCAGACACACCAGAAGAGGGCGUCACGGAUGGUUGUGAGCCACCAUGUGGUUGCUGGGACUUGAACACUGGACCUUUGGAAGAGCAGUCGGGUACUCUUACCCACUGAGCCAUCUCACCAGCCCCCCUGCACUGCUCUUAAGUAGCAUUUCUUUCCUGAGUUGGGCUUUGCCCAUCUGUGGAGAGCUUUGUGGGGCCACUUGGCUGGGAUUUGACAUUAGGCCAGGACAAGGAAGUAAGCUCAGGCAGGAAUCUAAUUUGGCUAGAACAAAGUAGUAGGCUUAAGGCAAGAAUUUUACUUUGGGCUAGGACAGGGAAGUAGGCUCAGAUAUCUUGGUCAUCCUGAUAAGCACUUAGAAACAGUGAGCUUGGGAGUUUUAUUGUCUUGCUUAUUCUCCAGCCUAGAACUGAUCUUAUUAUUUGCAUGUAAUUAAAAUGAUAUAAAAGCAAAUUGGGGGAAAAAAAAUAAACCUACUUCAGCCUCAGACCUUGCUGAGUUCAUACUACAA